UUGUCAGUGAGUAUAUAAAAAGGGCAAGUAUCCUCUGUUUCAUUAAACUGAUACCUUCAACUGCUUUGCAAGGAGAGAUAAAGAAGAAAACAAACAGGCAAAAAAAGAAAAAUGAGAUUCCUUAUUGCGUGUGGCCUCGUGUGCAUUCUUUUCUUUUCAUUGGCUCAUUGUGAUGAGAUGGAGACUGAGUACGAUAACGAAGUCACUCAAGACAUUUUUGAAGACCAAGAAGAUUUACCAGUUAUAAAAUCUACUUUUGAGAAGCAAAAGGCGAGAAAGUCGUGCGGGCAUGGCUUUUGGUGCAAUAAAAAUUAAGAACUGGGACUAAAAUCUUGUAGAAAAUAUAAAAUCACCAGUUUACGUAGAUUCGAUGAAUAAAAAUACAAGAAUUAUGCAAA